GAUGAACGCUGGCGGCGUGCCUAAUACGUGCAAGUCGAGCGAACAGACGGGGAGCUUGCUCCUCUGACGUUAGCGGCGGACGGGUGAGUAACACGUGGAUAACCUACCUAUAAGACUGGGAUAACUUCGGGAAACCGGAGCUAAUACCGGAUAAUAUAUUGAACCGCAUGGUUCAAUAGUGAAAGACGGUUUUGCUGUCACUUAUAGAUGGAUCCGCGCCGCAUUAGCUAGUUGGUAAGGUAACGGCUUACCAAGGCAACGAUGCGUAGCCGACCUGAGAGGGUGAUCGGCCACACUGGAACUGAGACACGGUCCAGACUCCUACGGGAGGCAGCAGUAGGGAAUCUUCCGCAAUGGGCGAAAGCCUGACGGAGCAACGCCGCGUGAGUGAUGAAGGUCUUCGGAUCGUAAAACUCUGUUAUUAGGGAAGAACAAAUGUGUAAGUAACUAUGCACGUCUUGACGGUACCUAAUCAGAAAGCCACGGCUAACUACGUG
rnacentral:rRNA from 1 species